CUUCUAUAAAACAGCAUAAUAUAUUUCUCUAGUUUAGAGAAAUUUUUAUGGUAAUUGAUAGUGGAAAAAGGAAUUAGGUUUUCACUCAUGAGUUUGGUAAAAUAAAUUGCAGAUCUGCAUUUCACUCUUCAUUGCUUGAUAAUUUGAAGAAAAGAUUGAAAGUUUUGGGCCAUACUUCUAAAAGUCUUUGGAAUCACAAUUCACACCUAAGGCCUUAUGACCACUACACCUAGCUUAGGGGUUCCAUCAUGUUAAUAUCUCACAUCGUAAUGUGCCCCUUAUAAAGCCUUAGGCACUCCUCUCCUUGAGCUAACUUUUGAGAGUGAGUUAGAUUCAACCCAUUUUUUAGGAUAAUAUCAGAGUCUCCUAAAUGAUGUUGGGCAACCCAUGAGUAUUUCACGCUAGAGGUGUUUGGUUAAUAUCCCAUAUCGCUUUGGAAUAGAGAUAAUGUGUCCUUAUAAAGCCUUGGUCACUCCUUCCUCUUGAUACAUGGUAUCAGAGCCAACCUUGUUGUCCCAUUUCAGCCAGAUAUAAGGCAAGAGUGCUAACUAUAAAGACUUCGGCAAUCCUCCCUUUAGCCAGCUUUUAAAAUUGAGUUAGGUAUAGUACAUUUUCUCAACACAUCACAUAAUCCUAAAAAUGGGUAAAGCUUCUAGAAUUUCUCAUCCAUAAAAACUUUGAUAUUAAUAUGAUACAGACUCUGAAUACUUAUAAAAGCAACUCGUAAACGGCUCAGUUUGUUUAUAGCCCCACCAAUAGCACUGACAAAACUAGAAC
rnacentral:misc_RNA from 1 species